rnacentral:lncRNA from 1 species
UGUGAAUCUAUUUUCAACGCCAGAGGAACAACUAUGGCUCCAGGAGGUAGAUGGCAAGUCCUAUCAAGAAGGCCAGAGGGGACAUCAAAAUCUGUUUCUUCUUUCCAAGAAGCUUACAAAUUCCUUGAAAACGGAAUCUGGUUCUUUGAAAGGGUCUUUCAAUACGGUUGUGAUGCUAUUUGAACACCUACCCAGAAUUCAACAGAAAGGGAUAAAAAAGCAGAAGGAAUCAGACCGCAAGGAUGAGACUACCUGACAGAAAACAGUUCCACUUCUAAUGUUUUGGAUCCACCAGAUCCCUGAAAUUUGGACUUAAAAAAAUGUUAAAACGUAUGUUUAUGAAGGUCUCCAGAUGAUACUUUUUCUGCCGAGGGAAUAUAGAAACAAAAACCAGAAGAGAAACAUUCAGAGCCUUUUGCAAGUGGGAGUCUCUAGGCUGGAAUCUCAUCUCCAAAUUGACCAGCCACACAAAGGAAGGAUCUCAACUUCUGCACAAGACGCAUUGCAUAUCCUGAUUGGUGAAGCAGAUUCCUUGAAAAUAACCCAUCUUAUUCGUACAGUUUGGGAACUAACUAAUUUGAUUUACAAAUACAGUAAUCACAAUGCAAACUCUGUUCAGGAAGAAUCAUGUGUAAACGAUUAGACACUAUUGGGG